CGAACCAGGAGGUCUGCGGCGGGGUGCAAGGCCGGCUGGACGUGGCCGCUUCCCGGUCAGCGGCUUCGGCGCUCAUAGCGGUAGCUCGGCUCUGGCCCGCGGCGGCUCGCUGAGACCCAGCACCGCUCGGCGAGCAGGUCAGACCUCAAGAAUGUGGAUGCAAAGCAGGAAGAUUUUCAUGGGCAGUAGUGAUGUUUAUAAAAUCAAAUGCACUUUUCCAUUCCAUAACCUCCAGCUUUGUUUGUACCAGACGAGUGGAGCAGUUUAAAUUGAUUUAAAAAAUUGAUCUAGCCAAAUCCAUGCAAACUCCUAACGUAAGGGCAUUGAAACUGUUGUGACCUUUGCUUAUAUUAAUUUAGCAGUACAUUAUUAUUUCCUCAACUAAAAAUUUUACCCUUUGUAACACUUUUAAACACAUUAAAUAAUUAUGGAACCUUU